rnacentral:lncRNA from 1 species
AAGUAAUAGACAUUUGGAGUAUUUAUGAUGAUAUUCCUCCAUGUUCAAACAAUAUCACAAUUUGGCUGUGAAGUGCUUUAGUCUUCAAAUUGCUAUGGAUUCAUUGCCUUUCUUUGAAAGGUGAAAAUUAUUAAUCUGGAUCACAAGAAGGCUCGGAUUUUUGGAACUGGGAUAAUCUCAUGCAACUGAAGAUGUACAUGAGGUAGGUGUCAUUUGAGAAAUAGCUUAUUUGAAAUAGUCUUUUAUGCUGCCUU